UACGUAGGUGGCAAGCGUUGUCCGGAUUCAUUGGGUUUAAAGGGUGCGUAGGCGGCCCUGUAAGUCAGUAGUGAAAUAUCACAGCUUAACUGUGAGGGUGCUAUUGAUACUGCAGGGCUUGAGUACAGACGAGGUAGGCGGAAUUGACGGUGUAGCGGUGAAAUGCUUAGAUAUCGUCAAGAACACCGAUAGUGUAGACAGCUUACUAGGCUGUAACUGACGCUGAGGCACGAAAGUGUGGGGAUCAAACAGG
rnacentral:rRNA from 1 species